rnacentral:rRNA from 1 species
GGACGAGUCGAGGCCACAUUGGGAACUGAGACACGGUCCCAAACUCCUACGGAAGGCAGCAG